rnacentral:rRNA from 1 species
UACAGAGGGGGCAAGCGUUAUUCGGAAUUAUUGGGCGUAAAGGGCGCGUAGGCGGCCAUUCAAGUGACGGGUGAAAGCCCUCGGCUUAACCGAGGAACUGCCUGUCAGACUGGAUGGCUUGAGACCGGGAGAGGUGAGUGGAAUUCCCAGUGUAGCGGUGAAAUGCGUAGAUAUUGGGAAGAACACCAGCGGCGAAAGCGCGCUACUGGGCCAUUACUGACACUCAUGGACGAAAGCUAGGGGAGCGAAAGGG